UUUAAUAAUUUUAUAGGGCUCAGACAACAUAAUAGAAGAGUUGUGGAUUCUCUGGCAGGCACUGACCAGCCUAAGCCAGCGGUCGUUAGACGGGCCUGCCAAAGCAACAGGUGUGUAAACAAAGGGUGGGAGAUAUACCCAAAGGGCAUGUUCUCUGUAAUGAUCCUUCCGCAGCAUGAAGGGCCAGCAGCACAACCACUGCCUCGCCCUAGCUGCUCUCCCAAGCAGCUUCUCGAUCAUAUCUUAACCCUAUUGGGCCACCUCUAUUUGACCUGUGAGCCUAUUUUCUAGGCUGCUGGUAUCACAUAACGUGGAUCCUAGCACAGUAGAGAUGUUGCCUGCUGGACAGACUUUUCUAUUCUGGCGAACCUGCAAAGUGUUCACCUACGGAAA
rnacentral:misc_RNA from 1 species